rnacentral:rRNA from 1 species
UACGGAGGAUGCGAGCGUUAUCCGGAUUUAUUGGGUUUGAAGGGUGCGCAGGCGGCGUGUCAAGCAAGCGGUAAAAUAGCGGGGCUCAACCCCGUCGAGCCGUUUGAACUGGCGCGCUUGAGUUCAGGCGAGGUAGGCGGAAUUCGUGGUGUAGCGGUGAAAUGCAUAGAUAUCACGAAGAACUCCGAUUGCGAAGGCAGCUUACCAGUCUGCGACUGACGCUCAGGCACGAAAGUGUGGGUAUCGAACAGG